CUUUGACCUUGAAUAACUUACGACGCAGACACGAGAUUUUAUGAGACUUUUGAGACAACUUUUAGAAAGCCAAAAUUAAGUGACUGGACUAAAUUACAGACUAAUGAAAUGCAAACUUGGAACUCACGCUUGCUAAAAUGGCGGCACAUACUGGUAAUUUCUAUCCCAAUAUCGUUGCCAAAUGCCAAUGUAUAAUACACAGGUCGAUGCUGUACCUUUGUGAUAGCAAAUUUAGAUAUUUGUUAUAACCACUAUGUACUUCUGCUGGUAAAAUGGCAGUUAUCCGUGAUUUGUACCAUCCUGCACAUAACCUAACUAACAAACGUGUAAAAUACUAAGACAUUCUUCCCGCCUAAAUUAAUAUAAACACAUUGCUUCAAUGGUACAACACACUGUUAUUUUAAUUUCUAUUUGUAAAUAAAAUACUUUCAAUACAUUUCAAAUAAUUUAUUAACUCUAUUUCAAAAGUUUCACUCCAUAAUGUAAUGUAAUAUAAUUAAUAAUAAAAAAAAAUACAGUAUUAUUAGUUUAUGAACUUGACACAUGACAACAAUCAAGUGUUACACUUUACAACUCCAAAUAGUGGGUGGCAAAGUUCUCAAAACGUUGAUCAACACAAAAAACCGUUGGCGAGUUUGAAUCCAAACCUGCAUGUACGGUUCAAUAAACUCACUACAAGAAUUGUACUUUCAAGAGCAGCGGGAAACACGCAUGUAGUGCAGGUUAAAUUGCGAUUUUUCAGCAUCAAGAUCUAACGCUACAGGUAUGUAUGUCUUUCAUUACAUCAUAAUUAAAAAAUACGUAAAAAAAAAGGAAAAAAUAUACAA